UACGUAGGGUGCAAGCGUUGUCCGGAAUUAUUGGGCGUAAAGAGCUCGUAGGCGGUCUGUUACGUCGGCUGUGAAAACCUGGGGCUCAACCCCGGGCCUGCAGCCGAUACGGGCAGACUAGAAUUCGGUAGGGGAGACUGGAAUUCCUGGUGUAGCGGUGAAAUGCGCAGAUAUCAGGAGGAACACCGGUGGCGAAGGCGCCGCUCUGGGCCGAAACUGACGCUGAGGAGCGAAAGCGUGGGGAGCGAACAGG
rnacentral:rRNA from 1 species